GUUGAAUAUAGUCUAUCUGCAGUCUUUGAAACGGGUAAAGUGGCCUUGGUGUGUUUUGACAGCCUAUCCUGGAUUGUUUCUAGCACAAAUCAUGCAAGCUUGGGUGUGUUUAGCUGCUACAAUAGUAAAUCCAGGUGCUACCCAAUGGGUGUUUACUAUGCUGUUCAUGUGCAUCUUGGAUAGAUGUGUAGGUCCAUGGGCAAUCUGGAUCAUCAUGGGGUAUAAUACUCGUGGCAAACACAGUCUUUUACCUUUCCUCCACGUUCUGUCAUCAUCAGGUUCUGCAUCCUGUUUCCUCCAGAGGUCACGUCCUUCCUUGCUUGCCAGUCUUCGUAAGCUCAACAGUAUAUUGUAGUCAACGGCGUCAUCUGUUAGAACAACUUAUUACAGGUAUUACCUGUAGAAGGAUGUACUUGGAUUGCUACUUGCUUGGCAGCUUCGUCUGCUUUGUGGUUUCCUCUUGAGAUUUCAUCUGUGAUCGUCACGUGAGCUGCCACCUUGAUGAUGCCUACUUGAGUGGGUAGCAGGAUAGCGUCCAUAAGUGCACUCACAGCUUCAGAGUUCUUGAUUGGAGUUCCUGCUGAAUUGAGAAAAUCACGAGCCCGCCAUAUAGGGCCAAAAGCAUGGGCUAUACCGAAGACAUAGCGAG